rnacentral:ncRNA from 1 species
GGCGUAAUGCAGGGGAACCCGUGUUUGUCGGGUUGAGAUGGGCCAAGUGAGGCCUGAACCCUUUGAACCUGAUGGUUAACACCAGCGUAGGGAGGCAUGUCUAGUGACUGC